rnacentral:rRNA from 1 species
GGAGUGCUUGCACUCUGUGAAACAAGAUACAGGCUAGCGGCGGACGGGUGAGUAACACGUGGGUAACCUGCCCAAGAGAUCGGGAUAACACCUGGAAACAGAUGCUAAUACCGGAUAACAACAGAUGAUGCCUAUCAACUGUUUAAAAGAUGGUUCUGCUAUCACUCUUGGAUGGACCUGCGGUGCAUUAGCUAGUUGGUAGGGUAACGGCCUACCAAGGCGAUGAUGCAUAGCCGAGUUGAGAGACUGAUCGGCCACAUUGGGACUGAGACACGGCCCAAACUCCUACGGGAGGCAGCAGUAGGGAAUCUUCCACAAUGGACGCAAGUCUGAUGGAGCAACGCCGCGUGAGUGAAGAAGGGUUUCGGCUCGUAAAGCUCUGUUGUUGGUGAAGAAGGACAGGGGUAGUAACUGACCUUUGUUUGACGGUAAUCAAUUAGAAAGUCACGGCUAACUACGUGCCAGCAGCCGCGGUAAUACGUAGGUGGCAAGCGUUGUCCGGAUUUAUUGGGCGUAAAGCGAGUGCAGGCGGCUCGAUAAGUCUGAUGUGAAAGCCUUCGGCUCAACCGGAGAAUUGCAUCAGAAACUGUCGAGCUUGAGUACAGA